AAUUUUAUUUCCCCAGAGCGUGGACACCAAAGAAGGACCCCCUGGAAGAGGCUGAAAGCUUAGCUUCAUGGAAAUUCAGCUGGGCCCCAUUUUGAACUCCCCCCCUCCCACUCAUCCCCAGUUAAAUGAAGCCGCCGUUUCUUCUGCCCGCCUUCAAAAAUCAUCUUCAAGUCCACCUUUGCCAUUAAGCCUUUGACCUCAACUGCCCAGCCCUACACCUAUUUACAAACGCGUCUCUGCACUAAUGAGGACUAGACACUUGGCUGUAGGAGGCCAUUUUAAUUCCUUUCCGAGGUGUCGAUUCCUUCCUUGGAACCGGGUGCCAUGCCUACUGCCUAAUUAGAUUAUAAUAUGCUCCAAGAGAAAUGGGGGAAAGAAAUAGAAUUUGUCUUU